rnacentral:rRNA from 1 species
UACGGAGGGUGCGAGCGUUGUCCGGAAUCACUGGGCGUAAAGGGCGCGUAGGUGGCCGAGCAAGGUCGCGGUGAAAGCCCGGGGCUCAACCCCGGGUCGGCCGUGGCAACUACUCGGCUCGAGCACUGUAGGGGCGGGUGGAAUUCCGGGUGUAGCGGUGGAAUGCGUAGAGAUCCGGAAGAACACCAGUGGCGAAGGCGACUCACUGGACAACUGUUGACGCUGAGGUGCGAAAGCGUGGGGAGCAAACAGG